rnacentral:rRNA from 1 species
AUUGAACGCUGGCGGCAUGGCUAAAACAUGCAAGUCGAGCGCGAAAGAGGAGCAAUCCUCAAGUAGAGCGGCGAAAGGGUGAGUAAUACGUUCCUACGUACCUCGAGGUCAGGGAUAGCCAGGGGAAACUCUGGGUAAUACCUGAUGUGGUCGAGAGAUCAAAGGCUUGCCGCCUUGAGAGCGGGGAACGUCCUAUCAGCUAGUUGGUGAGGUAACGGCUCACCAAGGCUUUGACGGGUAGCGGGUGUGAGAGCAAGGCCCGCCACAUCGGAACUGAGACACUGUCCGGACUCCUACGGGAGGCUGCAGUAACGAAUCUUCCGCAAUGCGCGCAAGCGUGACGGAGCAAUGCCGCGUGCAGGAUGAAGCCCUUCGGGGUGUAAACUGCUGUCAGGGUUUAGAAACACAAUGAUCAAACCCAAAGGAAGAGACGACUAACUCUGUGCCAGCAGUCGCGGUAAUACAGAGGUCUCGAGCGUUAGUCGG